GACGAACGCUGGCGGCGUGCUUAACACAUGCAAGUCGAACGGGAGUAUUGAAGAAGCUUGCUUUAGAGAUACUUUAGUGGCGGACGGGUGAGUAACGCGUGAGGAGCUGUCCUAUGCAGGGGGACAACAGCUGGAAACGGCUGCUAAUACCCCAUAAGCCGAGAGGUAAAAGGAUCAAUCCGGCAGAGGAGGUACUCGCGUCCUAUCAGCUAGUAGGUGAGGUAACGGCUCACCUAGGCGAAGACGGGUAGCCGGCCUGAGAGGGCGAACGGCCAACGACUGGAACUGAGAUACGGUCCAGACUCCUACGGGAGGCAGCAGUGGGGAAUAUUGGGCAAUGGGGGAAACCCUGACCCAGCGACGCCGCGUGGGUGAAGAAAUCCUUCGGGAUGUAAAGCCCUGUUGUAUGGGAAGAGCGGAAGACGGUACCAUACGAGGAAGCCCCGGCAAACUACGUG
rnacentral:rRNA from 1 species